rnacentral:rRNA from 1 species
GAUACACGAGUGGCGCACGGGUGAGUAACGCGUACACAACCUACCCUUCAGUGGGGAAUAGCCCUGGGAAACUGGGAUUAAUACCCCAUAACAUUGAGGUCUUAAGAUUUCAAUUAAAGUUCCGACGCUGAAGGAUGGGUGUGCGUCCCAUUAGCUAGAUGGUAAGGUAACGGCUUACCACGGCUACGAUGGGUAGGGGGCGUGAGAGCGUGAUCCCCCACACGGGUACUGAGACACGGACCCG